rnacentral:rRNA from 1 species
GAUGAACGCUGGCGGCGUGCCUAAUACAUGCAAGUCGAGCGAACAGACGAGGAGCUUGCUCCUCUGACGUUAGCGGCGGACGGGUGAUUAACACGUGGAUAACCUACCUAUAAGACUGGGAUAACUUCGGGAAACCGGAGCUAAUACCGGAUAAUAUAUUGAACCGCACGGUUCAAUAGUGAAAGACGGUUUUGCUGUCACUUAUAGAUGGAUCCGCGCCGCAUUAGCUAGUUGGUAAGGUAACGGCUUACCAAGGCAACGAUGCGUAGCCGACCUGAGAGGGUGAUCGGCCACACUGGAACUGAGACACGGUCCAGACUCCUACGGGAGGCAGCAGUAGGGAAUCUUCCGCAAUGGGCGAAAGCCUGACGGAGCAACGCCGCGUGAGUGAUGAAGGUCUUCGGAUCGUAAAACUCUGUUAUUAGGGAAGAACAAAUGUGUAAGUAACUAUGCACGUCUUGACGGUACCUAAUCAGAAAGCCACGGCUAACUACGUG